UACGUAGGGACCAAGCGUUGUUCGGAUUUACUGGGCGUAAAGGGCGCGUAGGCGGCCAGCACAAGUCAGUUGUGAAAUCUCCGGGCUUAACUCGGAAAGGUCAACUGAUACUGUGCGACUAGAGUGCAGAAGGGGCAACUGGAAUUCUCGGUGUAGCGGUGAAAUGCGUAGAUAUCGAGAGGAACACCUGCGGCGAAGGCGGGUUGCUGGGCUGACACGUGACGCUGAGGCACGAAGGUCAGGGAGCAAACGGG
rnacentral:rRNA from 1 species